AUGGUAAUAAUUAUGAGGCAGUGACCAAGAGCUUACAGAAGACAGUGAGGAAGAGGAGCUGAGGGAGUCCCCAUUCUUGAGCAUUUUUAUCUGGGGGUAGAGGAGCAAUGGUUAAGAUAUGGCAACAGGCAGUGACGUGAAAUCUCCUGGCCCUCCCAGGGAUAAGAGGCAUGGGAGAAAGAGCUGCGGCCACUGGUGAUGGCCGCAAAGGAAAUGGUGGAGAAUCCUCGAAGAGCUGGUCUCAGAGGCUUGGGGCCAGUGUAGAGCCUGCAAAGAGAAUACCUCAUGGACAGCUGAUAAGUGAGUGAGUGUGUUGGGGAAGACUGCAGAGGCACCUCUGAGAAGACCUGCACCGGAGCUGGAGGCUGCACCCCCAUGUCCCUGGCUCCACCCUUCCUCCAAGCCUCAGCUUCCGUGCUGUGCUUGCCCAUCCGCUGGUGCUCUUCUGAGCUGCCCUGAGCACACAGCCUGCUGGGAACUCCUACACCUGCUUGCUGGCUUGGCCACGGCUCCUGGGAUCUGGGAGACAAAGCCUUUUUGUAACCUGUUUGGAGAUAUCAGUGCCACUGUCCAGUGAGUCAGGGACCCAAAUGGCCACAAAUGAUGAAGAGGAGAGUUCUCAGAUGGAAGAAGGGGCGGGAUUGCUUAGGAGUUGCGGAAGCCCAGGGCAAGAGGGGAAGAAGCUGGUGCCAGGAGAGCUUACCACUCUCUCCUUGUAGACGAUGUAUUUCAACCACUUAAAGUCCUGCCACUUGAAGCCGGCGAGGACAAAGAGAGAA
rnacentral:lncRNA from 10 species